GUACACUCCUGCGGGAGGCAGCAGUGGGGAAUAUUGGACAAUGGGCGCAAGCCUGAUCCAGCCAUGCCGCGUGAGUGAUGAAGGCCCUAGGGUUGUAAAGCUCUUUCACCGGUGAAGAUAAUGACGGUAACCGGAGAAGAAGCCCCGGCUAACUUCGUGCCAGCAGCCGCGGUAAUACGAAGGGGGCUAGCGUUGUUCGGAUUUACUGGGCGUAAAGCGCACGUAGGCGGACUAUUAAGUCAGGGGUGAAAUCCCGGGGCUCAACCCCGGAACUGCCUUUGAUACUGGUAGUCUUGAGUUCGAGAGAGGUGAGUGGAAUUCCGAGUGUAGAGGUGAAAUUCGUAGAUAUUCGGAGGAACACCAGUGGCGAAGGCGGCUCACUGGCUCGAUACUGACGCUGGGGUGCGAAAGCGUGGGGAGCAAACAGGAUUAGAAACCCGAGUAGUCCC
rnacentral:rRNA from 1 species